AAUUUUUGAGGCUGUCAGCUGACAGCUGUCAACCCUUAAUGGCACUUAGUAUGUGACAGGCAAUAGGUUUUGGUGCCUCCGUAUGCCUUCUAUCUUCCUUCGUUUCACUUCACUGCUUCGCCCACCACCUCAGGAGAUGACAGCGCACCUGCACUAGUCAGCUCUCGCUAACCCUGUCUCUCUUUCUCCGUCUUAGCGCUCGUCAUUCGUGUCCUUCUGCUGGGGCGAGGUUGAUACUGUUGUGUCGUAGUUUUUAGGCAAUAGUGGCUGUUGUUCGCGUGACGAUCAGGAUUUAUGGAGAAAGACGACGACUCGCCAAGUUCCCAUGCAGCCACAGACGGCGUAGCAAUUCUUACCGCCAACCCUUCGAGCAACGGAACCGGCCUGAGUUGGAAAUCGUGUGUGUGUAAUUGUGCCACGAUACGGAUGAAACACACAGGCUCACAUGCGACGAGAUGAAGAUAAUCUCAACAGGCUGAUGGAAAUCCAACAGGCUCACGGGAACGCUGCAGUUAUGGUCGGAGACGCGGAGUUAUUUAGUCACUGGUAAAUGUUGCAUCGAGUGCUGUGUGCUCGAUUUAAACACAAUUGUAAAAAUCAUGAAAAAGCGAAAAUAAUGCAAUGGUGGGGCUGAGUGGUGUUCUGUGGAGGAGAUGUCGCUGUCUCAGUAUUCAACGCCGGACCCUGUAUUUCAAGUCUGUGGUCAUGCUCGAUCAUAAGUUCCUGUAUGGCUCCAGUGCCUUCUCAGCAUUGUUGGCGGGUAAGCACCUGGAUCGUGUCCAAGUACUGCGGCUCUGGUGGCUUGAUGGAUGUACGGGUGCUCGCCGUGCACCCCUGCCGGCAAUCUGCUAGUGAAGCUUGGUAACUACUGUGUCCGGGAGAUUUUCAUCCAGAAGCUGAUCUUCCUAGGCUGGAGCUGCUGCUACUCCUGUGCUAGCCCUCAACCACUGGCGCUCCUACUCGGCUCCAGUAUGGGCCAUUAACCACCCUGCCCGAUUUCGCACUGUUGCUAUUCCACAACGUCAGCAUUUAACUCUGAGGUCAGACCUUGAUCCCUCCCACCAUAUACUAUCUGUCUGUCUGCCUCUCUCUCACACACAGAUGUGCGCGCAUACACACAAACACACAUGCACACACACACACACACACACACACACACACACACACACACACAUGCACACACAGUGACACAAACAUACACAUAGCCAACUUCUCUGUGUUUGGUGAUCAUCAUCUGUUUUCUGAUGUGCAAGCUCACCUCUGAUGCCGAUUACUUCCUUGCUUAGACCCGGUCUGCUAUUAGACCAGUCUGCUCUCCCUUCACUCGCUUGUAAAUUCUACUUGGAGCAGUAAGGUUGUGUCACUGCUCCUACUGAUGUCAUUGUUGUGAAAGCAAUAUCAUCGCCAUUGGUGGUAAUUUUCCACCGUGCAUGAAUCAUUAACAAUCAUCAUCUAUGUGUCACGGCCUAACCAUCCUCGUAACUCCCCUCAUCGUGACUAGUGCUGUACCGUUGAAACCUACUUUGCUUCAGUGUAUAUUCUCUCCAAAGCUCUUGUUUUGUUGCAUAGUGAUCUGACGCAGUGUGCUAUAGCCUAUCGGGUAAUAUGGAUAAGAUUA